GACGAACGCUGGCGGCGUGCUUAACACAUGCAAGUCGAACGGAAAGGCCCUGCUUUUGUGGGGUGCUCGAGUGGCGAACGGGUGAGUAACACGUGAGUAACCUGCCCUUGACUUUGGGAUAACUUCAGGAAACUGGGGCUAAUACCGGAUAGGAGCUCCUGCUGCAUGGUGGGGGUUGGAAAGUUUCGGCGGUUGGGGAUGGACUCGCGGCUUAUCUGCUUGUUGGUGGGGUAGUGGCUUACCAAGGCUUUGACGGGUAGGCGGCCUGAGAGGGUGACCGGCCACAUUGGGACUGAGAUACGGCCCAGACUCGUACGGGAGGCAGCAGUGGGGAAUAUUGCACAAUGGGCGGAAGCCUGAUGCAGCAACGCCGCGUGCGGGAUAACGGCCUUCGGGUUGUAAUCCGCUUUCGCCUGUGACGAAGCGUGAGUGACGGUAAUGGGUAAAGAAGCACCGGCUAACUACGUG
rnacentral:rRNA from 1 species